rnacentral:rRNA from 1 species
UGAAACUGCGAAUGGCUCAUUAAAACAGUUAUAGUUUAUUUGAUAAUCGAAUUUACAUGGAUAACCGUGGUAAUUCUAGAGCUAAUACAUGCUGGUUAGCCUGACUUUUGAGGAAGGGCUGUAUUUAUUAGAUAACAAACCAAUAUUCCCCGUGUCUAUUGUGAUGACUCAUAAUAACUGAUCGAAUCGCAUGGACUUUGACCGCGAUAAAUCAUUCAAGUUUCUGCCCCAUCAGCUUUCGAUGGUAGUGUAUCGGACUACCAUGGCUUUAACGGGUAACGGAGGAUUAGGGUUCGAUUCCGGAGAGGGAGCCUGAGAAACGGCUACCACAUCUAAGGAAGGCAGCAGGCGCGUAAAUUACCCAAUCCUGACUCAGGGAGGUAGUGACAAGAAAUAACG